GGGCCCGGAGGCGGGCAGGACAGGAGGCCAGACCAGACUGCCCAGGGAGACAGCCAUCAAGGCAGGCUGUGUAUGGGCUCGUGGCACAUAGAGACCUUCCCUGGAGAGCCGUUUUUGCACAAGGGGGUCAUUUGUGUCUCAGCUCAGUGGGGUCAGCAGGAUCCAGAGAAACAGUCCGUGCUGGUCCUCAGGAGGCGGCAAGGGGGCAUAUAUGAACUAAGGGCUAAACUGGUCCCAGUGUUUUAUGCAACUUUAGCUCCCAGGACACUCGGCCUUCUCACUGCAAAAUGGGGAGAACCUGUUCCUGCCCCCCCGGGGCUACAUGAAGACCAAGUGAACCAGCACGGGCCCAGGAAACUGUUCUGGAAGCUGGCAGGUGGAGGAGGCCCCGCCUGGGCCCUGCCGCCCGUGCUGCCCAGGCCCCCGCACCUCCUCCCGGGCGUCCCCAGCCCGCACAGCCUGUGCCCACUCGCACUGGGCACCGAGUCAGAGCCUGAGUCAUGGGCUGUUUCCACCAGCGAGGAAGCUCUCCUUGGCACACGCCAUCCAGCUACUCAGCAGGCGACCCUGCGUGGGGGCGGCAUCUGCCACCAAGGGACCCGUGUUACCGUGAAGCCUGGUGAUCCGGGUAGGAAAGCUCCAACUGCUGCCGGGAGAGCUACAAGUCCCAGGGGGCUGUGCACAUCCCCGGGCUCAGAGGUGCGUCUCAGUGAUCUCUUUCAGGGAUCAGGGACGUGGCAAGGUGGCCAGGUCCGCCUCCCGGGCUCUGCGCACAGUCGGGAGCCCUAGUCAGCUGGGCUCUGGGAUCAGCCUGCCCCGUGUUUGAACGCCCGCCCUCCUGCGCACCUGCUGCGGUGCCUGCCGGGCUCCCCAGGGGCGAAGGACCAAAGGAGAACAAACACCUGCCCUCGAGGGAGAGGUAGCCCGGCCGCCUGCAGUUCUGCCUCCCACAGGUGUCACUCUUUGGGGCUCCACCUUCCCGGCUGCUCCUGGCACCCCCCAACCGGACCCCGGCAGCCCCCUGGGGCCCAAGCUCCACCUUCCCGGCUCCGAAGGGGAUCAGGUGCCCCAGAGAGAGAAUGCUGAGCGCACAGCCCAUUAGGGCUGCAGAGAAAUGGUCUCGGGCUGAAUGCGAUUAGCCUCCCCAGGGCGCAGCACUUCUCCCUCGUGUGCCUCCCACACCCGGGCCAGACACCCCGCAUCCGAGAAAGCAGGCCCUGCUCCUCCUGCCAGAGCUGGCUUCCAGCCUUGACAGAUUUCACAGCCAAGGUCUCUUUCCUGAAACUCCGCUGCUUCAACCCAUUACUCGUCAUUAUCCCCUGAACGGCGCCUGCAAAGCUUCUCCUCCACAGCUGUGCCCUUAGAGCCCCGCAAAGGAACUCACUACUUGGCUAAGGACAGGCCACCGGUGUCCUUAAUCUGGCCUCAUAAAUGAGCCACGUGGGCACCCCCAGGCUACGCCCACUGCUCCCCCAGCCCUUGAGUCCUCUGGGUACUUCUUGGGCAGCGCCAGAAGCUCCAGCCUUUCCAGGCAGUGGGUGGGUGGGGAGUCCUGCUCCCCCAGUGUGCCCAGCACCAUCCUCCCUCCUCCUCGGCAGGCGAGGGGCUCCCAGCUGCUCCUACAGGAGUCCCGCCAGCCAGCAGCCUGGCAGCUGCUGCUCCUGUCAGCAGGGCCUUCUCCUGGAACGGGGACAUCUUAAGCUUGUUGGGAUCAAUUGCCCGUGGCGUUCCACUUAAUCCCCCUGCCAGGUAACUGACAGCUUUAGUGGCGAGGAGGAGCAAGGAGGGCUUUCUCAGGACCCUAUCCCAACCCCUAAGGGAGAUGGGAGCAGGGUGCACGGCAGGUCUGGAGCCAGAGGGGGAGUUAGAAGCAUUCCAGGGCCAAAGCCCCCAUAUUUAGACAUAGUCCCUGGGCUGUAGCCCCUGGGGGGCCCCACUUGUCCCACGCCAGGGGCAGCAGGACCACCUAAGGUCCAGGGCCAGGCCGGACACACAGGCAGCACUCAGGAAGGCCUACUAGGAGGAAGAGGAGAUGCAGUAACUCGAGCGAAGAGAAAAGGUAACAAUGAAAACACAGUCCUUGCUUGAUGAGAUAUGCAUGCCGGAAGGCUUCCCGGAGGAGGCGUGUUAGCCCUGCCACAGACUGGAGCGAGACUUGGAGACCCCUGGGCCAGAGCAGUGCUCCUCAAACUUUGGUCUGAGCCAAGCAACACCGGAGAACUUGCUGGAAAUGCGGAUUCUCUGAACGCAUCAGCCACUCUGGGGUGGGGCCUCGGGCACCCCGCCGGUGACAAGCCCUCCAGAUGAUUCGAUUCGCAUGCGUGGCUUGGGCUGACUGUGACUCAUCGUGGAUUGUCUGCUCCUGUGUUUUUGUGGUUGGAGACCACAGCCUGAGGCUGCGCGUCGGGGGACCCAGGAGGACCCAGGAGAGGAGAGUGUGCCCCGGCCGUGUGCAGGGGCAUCUGCCAACCCAACACCACUGUAGGCUCCUUCACUGGCUUGGGGUUCUCUGGACCACUCCGUUGACAAGUUUGAAGCCCGAUCUCCAGUGAAGGUCACCCUGAGUUGGCACAUUCUCAGGAAGGAAUGGGUGUAUCCCCAUUCAUUGCAGACGCCAGGACAAAUCAGGCCCCUGAGAACCUCCCACAUGAUCCUCAGGGUGAUGAUGGCAGAGCCACACGAUCGAUGCGCCUGCAGUCCCAAUCACUGCCGGAAGAACCGUCUACCACCGCAGACGCUGCGUGAGCAGGACUGAGGGGCUUACCCAGUGCAGCAGCUGGCAUUACUUCACUAAACACCACUCCACCGUGGUGCCAGAAUUAAAGCCCCACUCAUAAUUGUUCCACAGCUCACCAUUAUACACAUAAUCUUUUCAGGGCUUAGGGACUUAAAGGGUUCUCAUCUGGCCUGGCUCCCGGGAGGCAGGACUGCCUAUCAGGGAGGCGGAGGGGCUCACUGGCAUGGCAGACGGGAGAGUGGCCUGAUGCUCCUUCCCUGCCCUGCCUUAUCAGCACUGGCCCCCGAAUCCACUUAGAUGUGGCCCUGCUUUCAAGGAAGCCCUGGGUAUUGAGGAUGUAGAGGCAGACACAGGGGACCUUGGGACAAGGAGAUGACAGGUGCAGCGGGGCCGACGGCGGGGGCAGUGGCCACUCAGGCACCAGCCUGUUCAGGCUGAGGUCUAGGGUCUGCUGGGCUGGACCAGCUGUACCAACACGCUCACUGGGGACAAGAGAGCAAGGUGGGCCUUGCGCUUGGUGCAGACAAGUGGGACUCUGGGCGCAGCCUGGCCCACCUGGCAGGGGGGUGCCCAGCUGGCAGCGCUUCGAGGCCCACCCUGUGCUGGAAAACCUCAUGUCCACAGAUGAGGAGUCCUUGGGCCAUCCACUGUGCAGACGUGUCCUCAAGAGGCCACGAAACUCGACUCACCGCAGAGUCUUCUCCCAGGAACAAGAGCCGGCAACUGGCAACACUCCCCAGGUCGGGGUCUACCGUGACAAGGCUGGCCAAAGGACAGGCCUCUGGACCCCUGCCCUCGACAGGUCACAACCUCUAGGGACAAAGGAAGGGGCCCUGCUGGGAACUGACAGGCUCGCUGUCCUCUCUCAUUGGCUGCCUGGCCUCCUUCACCAGACCAUGGUCCCCAGAGCUGCUCUGUCCCCAGAUUCUGAGGGGCAGUCCUGGUCUUUCUAGUCCUUUGGUCACUCUCUCAGGGGAUUUCGACAGCGAUACGAUGGCAACUCUGAGCACACUGGGUGCAGAGUAGCACAUGGGCCCGUGGAGUCCUUGCCUCACCCUAACUUCCUACAGCUGGACCAGCCCUCUGACCUGGAGGGGGACCUGCUUCGGGCACCGCACUGUGCUCCAGAGAAAAGCUGUUCCUCCUCUGGCUACCCCGGGGUGGAGCAGAGCCUCUGGGUUUUUAGGACUAAAGAGCCGUGGGAAAGCUGUGAGCACGGGUUAGCCCACGGAUUAGCUGUUAAGAACAUACUCAGAAGCCCACGGACACCUGGGAAGGGUAGUUUAUUUUCAUUUACAUUCUCCUUAUGACCCACGGAGCAAACCAGAAAGAACCCAGUCCUUAGGGAUGGCUCAUUGGGUUGGGAGUCCUGGCAGUGGGCCCUGGGCAGGUCACUUGGCCUCUCUGAGCCUCCAUUUCCUUGACCACAGAAGUGGGAUCAGUGACCCCCACUUCUCCAGGCCGACAUGAGGUCAAAGGGCCCAGAAGCCCCAGGGACACUGGAAGUGCACAACCAGCAUCCUGUCCCUUGUCCAGCUCUGCCUGGUAGGCCUCUUGUCCAGCCCUCUGUCCCUCCCUCUGCUUCCACCUGAAGAAGCUUGUCGGGACAUGGGACAUGUAAUGAAGAACGUUAUUCUGGGGGCGUGAGGUGCUGACUCCAGCUGUGGGGAGGAAUUUCAGGUGGGGGAGGCACCGGGGCCGGGGGCCGUACUAUCAUCCUCUCUUGCUUCCCCUAACUGGCUGAAACAGGGGCUCAAAUGCAUACGUGUGGGGCCGGGAGCACUCAGAGAAGCGUUACCUGUGCCUCACCGGUACUUGCAGGAGCAGGGGCCCAGAGGUCUUCCUCUCGGGCCAGGGCUGCGCAUGGAUGGACCCUCGUCCUUGAGAAAGGCAGGAUGGAGACGAGGCCCCGGGGAGCCCACUGGGGGCUGAAACAUCUUCACCUCCACACAUGGGAUCCGACCACGUGCGAGUGAGGCACCCAGGAGCCCCAGGCAGGCGUCCGAGCCACUGUCCGGGAAGAAAGGAGUCCAGCCUCUCCGGGAGGGCAGGCUGAGCCCAAUGGCACCUCCCAGCCUGGCAGCCACACCUGCUGUGCACCUGCUCUGGCGGAGGAAGCAGGGCACGGAGGUGAAGUCCACGCGCCUGAGAGUCCACAAGCUUCCUGCUGCUACAACACGGAGCCUGCGCCGAUAGAACCUCGACAAACUUAGCUACUGCUACCUGAUUUCACCCACAAGCCAGUUUGCAUCUCUGCAUCAGAGACUGGAAACUGAGGCACAGAGAGGCUGACAGAGCUCAACCCUUCUGAGCACUCAGACCUGGGGAAAUCCUAGCUCUGCCACUUGCUCACUGCAUGACCCCGACGGAGUGACCCCCUUCCCCCAUGCCUCAGCUUCCCCAUCUGUAAAUUCAGAUGCAUCAUUGCUUUCUUGUUGCACUGGCUUGAAGAAUAAAAUGAAACCAUGCCCGUGCAAGAGCCCCAUCGGGUGCCUCGCACAAAACCAACCUUGAUUAGAAUUACUAUCCAGGCACAAUGCUAUUAUUCUAAUUUUCUCCCACGAAGCACUCUGUAUUCGCUAAAUAAGUGAUUCCUUUUCCCCAACAUUUUAUUCUGAAAAUUCCAAACACACAGCAAAGCUGAAAGCAUUUCUAGUGAA